AACGUAGGAGGCAAGCGUUAUCCGAAUUUACUGGGCGUAAAGCGCGUGCAGGCGGUUCGAUAAGUUGGAUGUGAAAGCUCCUGGCUCAACUGGGAGAGGUCGUUCAAUACUGUCGAACUCGAGGAUGGUAGAGGGAGGUGGAAUUCCCGGUGUAGUGGUGAAAUGCGUAGAUAUCGGGAGGAACACCAGUGGCGAAGGCGGCCUCCUGGGCCAUUCCUGACGAUCAGACGCGAAAGCUAGGGGAGCGAACGGG
rnacentral:rRNA from 1 species